rnacentral:rRNA from 1 species
UACGUAGGGUGCAAGCGUUAAUCGGAAUUACUGGGCGUAAAGCGUGCGCAGGCGGUUUUGUAAGUCUGACGUGAAAGCCCCGGGCUCAACCUGGGAAUUGCGUUGGAGACUGCAAGGCUUGAAUCUGGCAGAGGGGGGUAGAAUUCCACGUGUAGCAGUGAAAUGCGUAGAGAUGUGGAGGAACACCGAUGGCGAAGGCAGCCCCCUGGGUCAAGAUUGACGCUCAUGCACGAAAGCGUGGGGAGCAAACCGG